rnacentral:sRNA from 1 species
GAUGCCGGACGCAAUGCACCUCCUCCCGCAAAGCUUCGUGUUUCAGGCGACCCAUUCCCCCUCCCAAGGGGGCGCCUGACGGAAAAAGCCUGUCGCACCUUCUCCCGCGGCGGGCUUUUUCG